GGAAAACUCACCCGGCCCGGACACCGCGAGGAUUGACAGACUGAGAGCUCUUUCUCGAUUCGGUGGGUGGUGGUGCAUGGCCGUUCUUAGUUGGUGGAGCGAUCUGUCUGGUUAAUUCCGAUAACGAACGAGACCCCAACCUGCUAACUAGCCCUCGGGUCCUGCUUCUGUUGGGCCCGACGGAAUGAUUCGCUUCUUAGAGGGACUCGCGGCGCCUAGCCGCACGAAGGGGGGCGAUAA
rnacentral:rRNA from 1 species